rnacentral:lncRNA from 1 species
UGCAAAACGUGCAGUGUUGGGGUGCCUCCAGGACCAGGGUUGGGAACCAUGGGUCUAUGCUACCAAUCAUCAUACUACUUUAAAUUUGCUUUGUCUACAAAAAUAUGAGGUGUAGUUUAUAUAGAGAUGAUGGGGUGUGGAUGUGGAGCAGGUGAGCAUCUGUUGGACAGGCUAAAGACCAGCUGUGUUUUGCCGUCACCGUCACCAACCAUAUCCAUCCAUCUGUGGAUGAUGCCAGGAACAGAUUCUUGA